UAAAUACUGGCGCCCCUACGCCUUCUGGGUAAUCACCGAUGGUUUAUUGAUCAGAAACUCGACAUAUUAAAAUAAAUGAACACAUUAUUUAAAAAACAUUAUUGAAAAAAUUGUAGAAUAUGAAUAAUGGUCUAGAAAAAGCUAAAUCUUUAAUCAAAGGAAAUAUAUUUUCACAUGAUUCCUCAGAAUCCCGAAGUCUCACCGAAUACCAAACCGAACUCUAAAUUUAUGUUCGGACGCUCUCCGAAGAUCUUUCGGUUUGGAAACGAAAUUCUAGUGGGUAGUUGAUUUCUUGCCGUGGAAUAUGUUUUCGCUUUAUCUGAAAAAGACACUAAAUCAUGCUACGACAGUCUCUAUAAGAAAAGCCCUGCUAUGUUCAAAGCCAAGUAUUCAGCCAGAGCCCACGAGGAAAGCUUUUGGAGCUGUGAAGGCCGCUAUGAUUGUUUUACCCGGGGUGUAUUUUGGAGGAAUCGUAUCAAAGAAACUAGCCUGCUUUUUGGAGGAAUGGAAUAUUUUCACCCCAGAUGACGACGAUGAUGAUGACUAACAACAAACAAAAGUUGGAGAUAUUUCACUCAAGAGUGGUAUAUGUUUGUAAUAUCCUUGCAAAUGUUGAUGUAUUACGGGUGGAAGACAUAACAACAUGGAGUUGAAUAAUUGAUGUCACCAACACAAACAUUCUGUUAGUCGAACCGACAGGAUAGUUUAUAGACAACUCUUCAUUAUAAUAGCCCAUUAUAAUAAGCAGGUUAUGCUUACCUGGUUCAAGUCUUGGCUGUAAUAGGCUAGGUUUAAGAAUUUAUGUUUUUGAUAGAUUUUAAAAGUUUAAUGAUAUGCUUAUUGAAAAAGAGAAAGAGCUUUAUUUUUUGCACUUUUUAAUGAAACAUUGUAUUUUUGAAUCAAUAAAAUAUUUUAUUAUGGUGGUUAAUAUAAUUUUAGUUGUUACUAACUUUGAGAGUUCUUUGCUAUUUGGUUGUAAAGGGCAAUUAAACUAGAGAUGUGUAAAACACUUUGACACCUUUACUGUACAAAUUAAGCUAGCUUGCCCAUUCAUUACAAAAUGGUUUGACACCUAUGAAUUAAUCUAGCUCACCAUAUUCAUUUCAAACUAGUUUGUCACCUUUGAAUUAAAGUAGCUCACCAUUCAUUACAAACUAGUUUGACACCUUUGAAUUAAAGUAGCUCACCAUUCAUUAAAAAUUAGUUUGAUGCCUUUCAAUUAAAGUCGCUCACCAUUCAUUACAAA